CCCCAUGGAUCCCCACGUGAUCCCUGUCCACCAAACCAGCCCUCAGGGAGGAGGAGGAGGCCCACCAGAGAGCUGCCUUCCUCGCGCAGGGCCUCGCGAUGGCGCGGAAGGAGGGAGUCCACGCCGACAUCGUCGUCAAACCCGGCACUGGGCCCCCAAUAUAGGCCCACAAAGCCAUUCUGGCCGCGAGGUCGGAGGUGUUCGGCCACGUGCUGGCUGGCCGCCGACGAGCGCUGCAAGAAGCAGGGAUGUAAUCGGAUCGAAUACAGACGGAUAUCACAGAAACCAUAUUUGUUUUCAUAUUUUUAUUCGGAUUCGAAUUCGAAUAUAGAUACUUUCGGAUACGAAUACAAAUACAGAUGUUCUCGGAUGCAAAUACGGAUAGCCACGUGUCGAAUACGGAACUAGUCGGACACGGAUAGCGUCAGUAACGAAUUUUUUGUCGGAUACCGUGUAAGACACCAUUCCAAACAUAUCACGACUUCACGAGUGUCAUAAUCAUUUAGCACUCCUUGAGUCCAAACA